rnacentral:rRNA from 1 species
GAUGAACGCUAGCGGCAGGCUUAAUACAUGCAAGUCGAGGGGUAACAGUAAUACUUGUAUUAGCUGACGACCGGCGCACGGGUGCGUAACGCGUAUACAACUUGCCUACAACAGAGGGAUAGCCUGAAGAAAUUUGGAUUAAUACCUCAUGGUACUAUAGAGUGGCAUCACUUAAUGGUUAAAGAUUUAUUGGUUGUAGAUGGGUAUGCGUGUGAUUAGCUAGUUGGUAAGGUAAAGGCUUACCAAGGCGACGAUCACUAGGGGUUCUGAGAGGAAGAUCCCCCACACUGGCACUGAGAUACGGGCCAGACUCCUACGGGAGGCAGCAGUAGGGAAUAUUGGUCAAUGGGGGCAACCCUGAACCAGCCAUGCCGCGUGCAGGAAGACGGCCUUCUGGGUUGUAAACUGCUUUUAUAACUGAGGAAUAUUCUCACGAGUGGGAUACAUGACGUUAGGUUAUGAAUAAGGACCGGCUAACUCCG